UGGACCCUACGGGAGGCAGCAGUGGGGAAUAUUGCGCAAUGGGGGAAACCCUGACGCAGCAACGCCGCGUGAGUGAGGAAGUAUCUCGGUAUGUAAAGCUCUCUCAGCGGGGAAGAAAGAGGACGGUACCCGACUAAGAAGCCCCGGCUAACUACGUGCCAGCAGCCGCGGUAAUACGUAGGGGGCGAGCGUUAUCCGGAUUUACUGGGUGUAAAGGGAGCGUAGACGGCAGGGCAAGUCUGGAGUGAAAGGCGGGGGCUCAACCCCCGGACUGCUCUGGAAACUGCCAGGCUGGAGUGCAGGAG
rnacentral:rRNA from 1 species